AUCGAACCCAGUGCCUCACACAUGCAAGGUAGGCAAGGCAGGCGCUCUACCACUGAGCUAUAGCCCCAGCCCCAUGGGAAGGUUAAUUUUAGUGCAGGUGAAUGUGCUCUGUUUUAGAUUUUUUUUUUUUUUUUUUUUGAGAUGAGGUCUUGCCACAUUUUGCCAGCCGACUCCAAACUCCUGGGCUCAAGCUAUCCUCCUGCCUCAGCCUCCCGAGUAGCUGGGACUAGAGGUGCACACAAAGUGCUGUUUCGGCUUUAGCGGUUUUUGUCUUUUUUCAUGACCUUCAAGCUCCCAAAACGGAGUCAGCAUACUCCUUAUUUCAGGGCCUUCAUUUACCUGUGGAAAUUAUUUGCACUUGUUCAGUUUAAUGUGUUUUUAAAUAUUUCCCACCUUCACCCUCUGGCUCCACUCUGCCCGUUCCUCCCUCCUUGGCAUCUUUAUUCUGUACAUCUUUUCAAUCCACUUUCCUAGACUUACUUACACUUAUGUAGAUCCUUGAACAUUUAUAGAAUUAAUUUUGUGGCUUUAUUUUCAGACAAAUUUCACUCAACUGUAUUAAAAAAACUGCAAAUCAAAAGAAAAGCUGUCCUGCAUACCCAUCUUGCACACCAUCCUUGUGUCAUCUGUCACCAUGAGAGUGGCUUUGUGACUCUGUCAAUAGCAGUUGAUGGUCAAGUGGAAUCUAGGAGGAAAAGACAACAGACAGGAGAGCAGUAGGGAGACUGUUAGAGGAGAAAGG
rnacentral:lncRNA from 1 species